AAAGUCUAGUGUGGAGACAGAAAAGUGAACAGAUUCUGAUAGUUGCCAGGAUACAGGGAAGUAGAGUGUGAGAUGGGAGUGAGCCCCAGAAGAGACAUCUAAAACAGAUUCUGGCACCAGGAGGAGGCUGGAGCAGGUGAACUUUUGAAAGAGAUGAGGUCUGCACCCAGCCAGCCAAGUGAAAUAGCAGGGGAGAUGAUCCUGCGGAAGAAGCAGCUAGAGCACAGACAUGGCAUCACGAGAUGUGCAGCCUUCUCUGGAACUGCAUGGAAAUUUGUUCAAUAGGGAGUUCUUGGUGACCAAGUGAUGGAGGAAGAGAACACUCAGGCCUAAUCUGCACGUGGUUCUGCACUACAGGCAGACACUACUCAAAAGGGCACAGCUAAGAUCAAAAUGGACAGAGGAUGCACAAAAUCCCCACUCUGAGGUGGUGUUGAAGAACAAGGGUGAAGGGAAACCCUCUACAUACACAGAAUUUUGAGCACUGCACCUGGUUGUCCAUUUUGCUUGGAAGGAGAGAUAUAUAGAAGUACAAGUCUAUACUGAUUCAUGGGUCAUGGCUAACACUUGGCUGGAAAGUCAGGAGAUUUGAAAGGAAUGUGAUUGAAAAAUCGGUGACAAAGAGAUCUGGAAGGAAAGGUUGACAGAUCUCUUCAAAUGGGUAUGGCAUGUGUAGGUAUUUAUGUUCUAUGAAAAUGCUCUCCAAAGAGUGAACUCAACAGAGGAGUAUUUGAAUAAUCAAGUGGAAAGGAUAAGCCUUUCUGUGGACAUGAGUCAGCCUGGUUCUCCAGCAAUUACUGUCAUUUCCCAAGUGGCUCGUGAAUAAAUUGGCCACGGAGGCCAAGAUGAAAGUUACGCAGGGGCACGGCAACAUAGAUGUCUACUUCCCAGGGCCCACCUGGCUAUGGCCACUGCAGAGAGCCCAGUCUGCUAGCAGCAGAGGUCAACGGUGAAUACCUGACACAGCACCAUUCCCAGCUACUGACUAGCCACCUAUUGGCAGGGUGAUUAUUACAUUAAAUCACUUCUCUCGUUGAAGGAGCAGUGCUUUGUUCUUAUUGGAAUAGACAUUGACUUUGGAUACACACUUGCUUUCCCUGCCCACAAUGCUUCGCCAAAACCACUACGAAAACCAUACACAGAAUGAUUUAUGCACUAUCACGAUAUUUCACACAGCAUCACUUCUGAUCAAGAAACUUACUUCCAAGCAAAUGAAGUGCAGCAAUUGCUUCAUAUUGUUCACAGGUCUUAUCAUGUUCAUCAUCACCCCAAAGUAGGUGGCUUGACAGAAUGAUGGAAUAACGUUUUGAAGACUCAGUUAUGUCCCUAUGACAUUAGGUUCUACUGGCCUGGAGGUCUUAGUUCCAAAGGGAAGAGUGUGUCCACCAGGGCACCCACUGAUGACUCUGUUGAACUGGAGUGCCCCCUUUAACUCAUGCCAUUGAAUCAACAGGCAAAGAAGGGAGUGAUUGAACCUGAUUGGCUUCUACACAAAGAGCAGCUGGGCCUGUAACUGCUUUGCCUCCCCCUGGAUUCUCCUCCAGCUCCUCCAACUCCUGGGCCAGGAGACUAGAGGGAAUCGACAUUACCUAUUGAAUUUUGAGAGCAGCUUCUUCUGAGAGAAACAUGGAAUGGUAUCAGUCUGAAUAAAGGAAAUUCAUGGUCACCGUUUUUCCUCAGCAUGUCGUACUCCCAGUUAUAUAGUUCUUAUAUGUACGAACCACCCAGCAAGCCUUUGAAAAGAGAAAGAGGAAAGAGAAGAAAAUUCUAAUUCAACUCUCCAUAUAGCUAAACAGCUAUCCAACAGACCUAGGUGAAGUCUUCGGCUCUCUGAUUUCCCCGAAGCCAGUGCGCUGGGUCAUGGGGCUGGCUGACCUCCCAGCACCACCUACCUCCUCUCUAUGAGAUGCCAUCAGAUCCCACCCAAAGGAGCCAGUCGUCCCUGUGAAACAAUAAGCAAUUCUUACGAGAUACAAGUGGACCUCUGUUACUGUGGCACAGGAAGGCUCGAUAAGAUCUUCCAGCCACAGCAUUCUUUUGUGUCAGCAGACGCAAGUGGGAUGUUCCUUCUGCAGCUCUUACGGAGCAAGAGGAAGCAGGCUUUGAAACACAAUGUUCAUUGAAAUCGGCUUUCAUCUAAGGAAUCCCAUGGUGGCUCCUGGUCCACGCGAUGUGCAUUCUGUCUGCAGCUGGGCUCUCCUGAUGCAUUUCCGUUGUUUGUUCUAGGGGGAAGGCAGCACCUUUAUGAGACUCACUCUUACUAGGUAAAGGGCAUCACAUUGUGCUAGGCAGAGCAUUCUGUGUCAGGAUGUCUCCAGUGAGUCUGGAGCCUAGAAGGAACAUUUAAAAAAAAAAAAAAAAAAAA
rnacentral:lncRNA from 1 species